rnacentral:misc_RNA from 1 species
GAGAGAGAGAGAAAGAGAGAGAGAUAUUAAAGAAAAUGACAAGUUUAUCUUUUUUCUUUUUCUAUCUCAAUUACUUCUCUCUCUAUUCCUUCUCUUCUAUUUUUAUCUGUUGGGUGCCCAUCUGAUCCUUUACUUUGUUCUCUCAAAUUUUAAUCGUAAAUUCUCUGCUUUUUUCUGUCCACUGUUUUCUGCUAUCAUUUCUCUUAAUAAAAAAGCUUUUAUCUUUCUUGAUUUAUAUCAUUCAAUUUGACACUUACCAUUUUUCUCUUUCUGUACAAAAUUUUCUUUUUGAUCCUUUAUUUCACAGUUUCAUUGCUUUUUGUAUUCUCGGGUUUCUUUGUCGAUAAUCGGGUUUGAAGAUUUCGCCUUUUCCCACUUUUUCUCUCUCAAUAGAUAACCUUUUAUAUUUUCUGUGGGUUUGAUUUGGAGGUUAAGAUGAUGAUGAUGAUGUCAAUGGAGGGGAUGAUGGAUAAGGGAGUUUUGGAUGAUAUAAUCAGGAGGCUAUUGGACGGGAGAGGGGGCAAGCAGGUGCAGCUAUCUGAAGGAGAGAUCCGUCAAUUAUGUGUAAACGCACGCCAAAUCUUCCUCUCUCAGCCUACUCUCCUUCAGUUAAAAGCUCCCAUUCGCAUCUGUGGUCAGCACACACCCCUCCUCCUCCUCCUCCUAGUAUAAUAGCAUGAUAUUGAUUAAUCUUAUUAUGCAAUACUUUGAUGUUGGGUGCCUUUUAUUCUUAUUUAUUUCUUGGAUUUAUUGGUUUGUUUGUUGAGAAACAGAGGAAGUAAAUCAUCAUAGUUUGGAUAAUUUGUAUGGAAUGGGUGUUGCUUUGCAUGAUUGGCCAUCGUGAGAUCUCGCGAUUGAAUUUUAAUUGUGGAAGGGUUGUAAUUGUAGCUUGUCGGGUGAAAGGGUUGAUUUAUUGGAUAACUGUUCUAUUUGAUUAUUGAUGGGGAAGCUUGAUGUGGUAAGUAUCAUGUUUUUUUCUUGGUAAUCACCAUUGCAUAUUUCACUUUUUCCUCCCCACAUUUGUAUUUGGUUGUGUGGACGCAAUACGUAGAAUCAAAAGUUGGUGCUGGAGAAUAUCUACUAUUGUUUGAGUCUUAUUUUUUCUUCGGAAAUUUGCUACAGGAAUAAUCAAAUCCAAAAUUUUAAGGCAUUGCUUUGUGAUUUUGUUGGGUCAAAUUGAUUGCCUCUUACUCCUUUGGUGCUGUUGGAGCCUGUGUUUAGCCAUAAAUGUAAUGAUCCAAAAUGCUAAAGGGAAGCAACAUGCUUGUCUUUGAAUGUGAAUGGCCAGAGAUAGAAAAUGAUUUGUAUUUGAGGAAAGACCAGAAGUUGUCUUUCAAUUUCUUCACUGUUUGUCAAUGAACAAUUUCCUUUAUUGAAUAAUUUAGAUUAUUACUGCUGAUUUGUAUAGGUGAGAAGAAAAAAGUAAUGUGUGCGCACGCGCGGGGGUGUGUCUGUGUGUGUAUAUAUUAUUCAUCUCCUUAAUCCUUCUCUCUGUUCCUUUAUGUCUGAUAUCGUAUGUGUUACAGGUGAUAUACAUGGACAAUAUCAAGACCUCCUGAGGCUAUUUGAAUAUGGUGGCUACCCUCCUUCUUUCAACUAUCUUUUUCUUGGAGAUUAUGUUGAUCGAGGGAAGCAAAGUUUGGAGACCAUAUGUCUGCUUCUGGCCUACAAAAUCAGAUAUCCUGACAAAGUUUUUCUCUUGAGAGGAAAUCAUGAGGAUGCAAAGAUCAAUCGGAUAUAUGGGUUUUAUGAUGAGUGUAAAAGAAGAUUCAACGUUAGGCUUUGGAAAAUAUUUACCGACUGCUUUAAUUGUUUGCCCGUGGCUGCACUAAUUGAUGAGAAGAUACUGUGUAUGCACGGCGGCCUAUCUCCAGAAUUGGAGAAUGUGAACCAAAUAAGAGAAAUUCAGAGGCCUACUGAAAUUCCUGAUAGUGGUCUUCUUUGUGAUCUGCUCUGGUCUGACCCUGAUGCUAAGGUUGAGGGCUGGUCAGACAGUGAUCGAGGUGUUUCAUGUACCUUUGGACCUGAUCGGGUUGCUGAGUUUUUGGAUAAGAAUGACCUUGAUCUCAUUUGCCGAGGUCAUCAGGUAACCAAUUCUUACAUAAGCAAGCUUACUACGAAUAAAAGAUGGAUAUUUAUAUUCCCCUGCUGUCAUUCAAGUUCUUUGCUUCCAUGCUUUUUUUUUCUUUCAAUUUUCUUGUUAGAAUCCCCUAGAUUUGAGGUAGGAUUGGUCCCCUUGCCUUCAAAUUUAGCAAUAUAGAGUCCUUGUAGGUGGAAUAUGGUAGAUCAUGAUGGGAGAUAUCUCUUAUCGAUGUUAGUCACAAAAGGCUAAUCUAUAAUUGGACCAAGUUUUCUGGAAAAAUUACCAUGCAGGAACUCUUCCCACGAUUUUGUUUUCUUUUGCUUGAAAUUUCUAAUUUGGCAAGCUUAUCUUUCAAUCUAAGGAAAGAUUCCUUUAUAAUAAACAGUGUUUGCGAGUGAAAAUGUGCUGUAUCACAAUAGCCCUUAACUACAAUCAAAAGGGUAUGAUAGAUGUUCCCUUGUAUUGGUGAUUAGUAAUAGGUAACUUCAGCCAUCAUUUUGUGUGACAUACACGUGGAACAACUUCAAGCACAAUAACAGUUGUUUUGUUUUAUCGGGACCUGAGAACAUGAUUAAUUAUGAAAUUCAGCAUUUCCAUAUGAAUUUUUUUUCUGUUAAAUUGCAGGUGGUGGAGGAUGGAUAUGAGUUUUUUGCCAAACGAAGUCUAGUCACAAUAUUUUCAGCUCCAAACUAUGGGGGGGAGUUUGACAAUGCAGGUGCUUUAUUGAGUGUUGAUGAAUCUCUAGUGUGUUCCUUUGAGAUAUUGAAGCCAGCUGCAUCAGCAAGCAGUUCAAAGUUGUCCCUUAAGAAGGUUAUAAAUCUGACUCUUUUUUUGUCUGCCUUAUUUAAUAUGGGAUGACUGACCUUGGCUUCCUGUGUGAGACUUCCAUGUUGGGAAACCAUCUGACCUUUUUCUUGUCCCUGUUCAAACAGCCUCCUAAAGUUGGAAAUAUCUAACAUGGGCAAAGGAACUUGGAGAUUCCUGGUUUUGAAUACGAGAUAGAGCGAGCUCACUUCAUGCUUCGGUUUGAACUCUCUGUUAUGGGGCAGUCUUACGAGAUGAGAAAACUUUUAACCCUAUUAAAGGAGCAGACGAUUCAAUUUGCAAUGCAGAUUACUAGAGGAAAAAAAAAUCUGUAGAUCAAAGGUACUUGCUAUCUUCUGGCCAGGAGCUGAAAAUUUCACAUUGAACCCCAUUUGAUAAUUUCCUGUUUCCAUCGCUUAGCAUAUGCCAUCUACCGAUUCUGCCUUGAUUUUUGUUGAGUUUGUAUGAGUACCAACUGUGGUUUUCCCAUGUAAGUCCUCUUUUUUACCUUGCAUCUGUGGAUAGGCCUGGCCUACUCUUCUGGUCCCUAGAUAAGGACUGGAAAUUGGACUGCAUCUCUCGACUUGGUUUUGGUUUAAUCUGCGUGCUCCACUUUAAACCCAUGCGGGAUUCUACAAGUUUGUUUCUGCUGCGAAUAUGCAAUCACCUCACAAGGUUUCCGGAUACAGCCAUUGAUUGCCAGUUGCCCAGACAGCAUCACCGUCUUAUAUACAGUUUAAGAUUAAAAAAGUUUCAAUGAAAAUAUCGAACACCAUAAACAUGACUUCAGUUGUCCAAACCAGUAUUUACAUAUGAAACCAAGCUGUAGUGUACCAUUGAAGGAUUGCAACACAGAUCGGACUUCAAUGUCAACCCUAACAUAAAUAUUGAUAGUAGUAUUGGAAAAAGUAACGCAAUUACUAAAAUUAAUCAUCAGAAAUCCUAAGCUCAACUAAGCAAAUUCUUCAAAAAGGUAGGAAAAGAACUCCUUUAUCUCACACCAAGAAAAUUCUUUGAUACAAAACUCCCUCAUGUUUAGCAUAGUCGUUCUUGCACAAUGGCACAUGCACAUCACCCUUUGUUUCUCUUUUCAAUGUCCACAAGCAGCGCUUGAUGGUCAUUACAUGUUGUGUAGCCAUGAAGGCCUCGGUAGAUACUAGAAUUACAGCUGCUCAUUUGAAAUCAGAGCUGUAAAACAUGUAGCAUGUGUAAGUAUUAGGAACUUCAACACAGAAGAAAAAUGAAGAAAAUUAUAUCUGGAUUCAUAGCAAUUCCUGACUAAAUUCAAUUGAAGAUCAGAUGAGGACUCCCAUUACUUGAAUAAACAAUUCUCAAACUAAUUAAAUCUGCUUCCUUUGCCUAGCCUAGUUUAGUACGCUGAAGACAUAUUACUCCCCUGUCAGAGCCAGAUUCAGAGUUUUCAUUCAAUCCCCCAACUCAAAAAAAUAAUAACAUAAAAAAAUUGCUUUCUUCAAUAUGGAAUAAAAAGGAAAAGUAACAAAUUGAUUCCCAUCAUGACAAUAGUUUUACAAUUCACCUAUAAGUCAAAACAUUGUCAAGCUUACAUUCAACAAGGCAUUCAUCUUCGA